rnacentral:rRNA from 1 species
GGGUUGUGAGGUUAAGCGACUAAGCGUACACGGUGGAUGCCCUGGCAGUCAGAGGCGAUGAAGGACGUGCUAAUCUGCGAUAAGCGUCGGUAAGGUGAUAUGAACCGUUAUAACCGGCGAUUUCCGAAUGGGGAAACCCAGUGUGUUUCGACACACUAUCAUUAACUGAAUCCAUAGGUUAAUGAGGCGAACCGGGGGAACUGAAACAUCUAAGUACCCCGAGGAAAAGAAAUCAACCGAGAUUCCCCCAGUAGCGGCGAGCGAACGGGGAGGAGCCCAGAGCCUGAAUCAGUGUGUGUGUUAGUGGAAGCGUCUGGAAAGGCGCGCGAUACAGGGUGACAGCCCCGUACACAAAAAUGCACAUGCUGUGAGCUCGAUGAGUAGGGCGGGACACGUGGUAUCCUGUCUGAAUAUGGGGGGACCAUCCUCCAAGGCUAAAUACUCCUGACUGACCGAUAGUGAACCAGUACCGUGAGGGAAAGGCGAAAAGAACCCCGGCGAGGGGAGUGAAAAAGAACCUGAAACCGUGUACGUACAAGCAGUGGGAGCACGCUUAGGCGUGUGACUGCGUACCUUUUGUAUAAUGGGUCAGCGACUUAUAUUCUGUAGCAAGGUUAACCGAAUAGGGGAGCCGAAGGGAAACCGAGUCUUAACUGGGCGUUAAGUUGCAGGGUAUAGACCCGAAACCCGGUGAUCUAGCCAUGGGCAGGUUGAAGGUUGGGUAACACUAACUGGAGGACCGAACCGACUAAUGUUGAAAAAUUAGCGGAUGACUUGUGGCUGGGGGUGAAAGGCCAAUCAAACCGGGAGAUAGCUGGUUCUCCCCGAAAGCUAUUUAGGUAGCGCCUCGUGAAUUCAUCUCCGGGGGUAGAGCACUGUUUCGGCAAGGGGGUCAUCCCGACUUACCAACCCGAUGCAAACUGCGAAUACCGGAGAAUGUUAUCACGGGAGACACACGGCGGGUGCUAACGUCCGUCGUGAAGAGGGAAACAACCCAGACCGCCAGCUAAGGUCCCAAAGUCAUGGUUAAGUGGGAAACGAUGUGGGAAGGCCCAGACAGCCAGGAUGUUGGCUUAGAAGCAGCCAUCAUUUAAAGAAAGCGUAAUAGCUCACUGGUCGAGUCGGCCUGCGCGGAAGAUGUAACGGGGCUAAACCAUGCACCGAAGCUGCGGCAGCGACGCUUAUGCGUUGUUGGGUAGGGGAGCGUUCUGUAAGCCUGUGAAGGUGUACUGUGAGGUAUGCUGGAGGUAUCAGAAGUGCGAAUGCUGACAUAAGUAACGAUAAAGCGGGUGAAAAGCCCGCUCGCCGGAAGACCAAGGGUUCCUGUCCAACGUUAAUCGGGGCAGGGUGAGUCGACCCCUAAGGCGAGGCCGAAAGGCGUAGUCGAUGGGAAACAGGUUAAUAUUCCUGUACUUGGUGUUACUGCGAAGGGGGGACGGAGAAGGCUAUGUUGGCCGGGCGACGGUUGUCCCGGUUUAAGCGUGUAGGCUGGUUUUCCAGGCAAAUCCGGAAAAUCAAGGCUGAGGCGUGAUGACGAGGCACUACGGUGCUGAAGCAACAAAUGCCCUGCUUCCAGGAAAAGCCUCUAAGCAUCAGGUAACAUCAAAUCGUACCCCAAACCGACACAGGUGGUCAGGUAGAGAAUACCAAGGCGCUUGAGAGAACUCGGGUGAAGGAACUAGGCAAAAUGGUGCCGUAACUUCGGGAGAAGGCACGCUGAUAUGUAGGUGAAGUCCCUCGCGGAUGGAGCUGAAAUCAGUCGAAGAUACCAGCUGGCUGCAACUGUUUAUUAAAAACACAGCACUGUGCAAACACGAAAGUGGACGUAUACGGUGUGACGCCUGCCCGGUGCCGGAAGGUUAAUUGAUGGGGUUAGCGCAAGCGAAGCUCUUGAUCGAAGCCCCGGUAAACGGCGGCCGUAACUAUAACGGUCCUAAGGUAGCGAAAUUCCUUGUCGGGUAAGUUCCGACCUGCACGAAUGGCGUAAUGAUGGCCAGGCUGUCUCCACCCGAGACUCAGUGAAAUUGAACUCGCUGUGAAGAUGCAGUGUACCCGCGGCAAGACGGAAAGACCCCGUGAACCUUUACUAUAGCUUGACACUGAACAUUGAGCCUUGAUGUGUAGGAUAGGUGGGAGGCUUUGAAGUGUGGACGCCAGUCUGCAUGGAGCCGACCUUGAAAUACCACCCUUUAAUGUUUGAUGUUCUAACGUGGACCCGUAAUCCGGGUUGCGGACAGUGUCUGGUGGGUAGUUUGACUGGGGCGGUCUCCUCCUAAAGAGUAACGGAGGAGCACGAAGGUUGGCUAAUCCUGGUCGGACAUCAGGAGGUUAGUGCAAUGGCAUAAGCCAGCUUGACUGCGAGCGUGACGGCGCGAGCAGGUGCGAAAGCAGGUCAUAGUGAUCCGGUGGUUCUGAAUGGAAGGGCCAUCGCUCAACGGAUAAAAGGUACUCCGGGGAUAACAGGCUGAUACCGCCCAAGAGUUCAUAUCGACGGCGGUGUUUGGCACCUCGAUGUCGGCUCAUCACAUCCUGGGGCUGAAGUAGGUCCCAAGGGUAUGGCUGUUCGCCAUUUAAAGUGGUACGCGAGCUGGGUUUAGAACGUCGUGAGACAGUUCGGUCCCUAUCUGCCGUGGGCGCUGGAGAACUGAGGGGGGCUGCUCCUAGUACGAGAGGACCGGAGUGGACGCAUCACUGGUGUUCGGGUUGUCAUGCCAAUGGCACUGCCCGGUAGCUAAAUGCGGAAGAGAUAAGUGCUGAAAGCAUCUAAGCACGAAACUUGCCCCGAGAUGAGUUCUCCCUGACCCUUUAAGGGUCCUGAAGGAACGUUGAAGACGACGACGUUGAUAGGCCGGGUGUGUAAGCGCAGCGAUGCGUUGAGCUAACCGGUACUAAUGAACCGUGAGGCUUAACCUUACAACGCCGAAGGUGUUU